rnacentral:rRNA from 1 species
UACGGGGGGGGGCAAGCGUUGUUCGGAAUUACUGGGCGUAAAGGGCUCGUAGGCGGCCAACUAAGUCGGACGUGAAAUCCCCAGGCUCAACCUGGGAACUGCGUCCGAUACUGGAUGGCUUGAAUCCGGGAGAGGGAUGCAGAAUUCCAGGUGUAGCGGUGAAAUGCGUAGAUAUCUGGAGGAAUACCGGUGGCGAAGGCGGCAUCCUGGACCGGCAUUGACGCUGAGGAGCGAAAGCCAGGGGAGCGGAACAGGA